GCAUGUCCCCUCUCCCCGCUCGCGGGGAGAGGGUUAGGGUGAG
rnacentral:sRNA from 1 species